rnacentral:rRNA from 1 species
AACGAACGCUGGCGGCAUGCCUAACACAUGCAAGUCGAACGCUCCGCAAGGGGGAGUGGCGAACGGGUGAGUAACGCGUGGGAACCUGCCCAGUAGUUGGGGAUAACCGCGGGAAACUGCGGCUAAUACCGAAUACGCCCUAAGGGGGAAAGAUUUAUCGCUAUUGGAGGGGCCCGCGUCGGAUUAGCUGGUUGGUGAGGUAACGGCUCACCAAGGCGACGAUCCGUAGCUGGUCUGAGAGGANGAUCAGCCACACUGGGACUUAGACACGGCCCAGACUCCUACGGGAGGCAGCAGUGGGGAAUAUUGGACAAUGGGGGCAACCCUGAUCCAGCAAUGCCGCGUGAGUGAUGAAGGCCUUAGGGUUGUAAAGCUCUUUUACCGGGGACGAUGAUGACGGUACCCGGAGAAUAAGCCCCGGCUAACUUCGUGCCAGCAGCCG